UGUUGAAAUUUCAUCCAUUUGUACUGUUAAAAAAUGUGUGGCUGAUGGAAUGACCAGACAAUGACAUGUGGUGUGCCAAUGUGUACAUCAUGCUAAUAUACAAUGAUUAAUUUUUAACGGUAGAAAUUGAUGGAACUUUUAACA
rfam:Gossypium raimondii Chr04_contig_1411, whole genome shotgun sequence.